rnacentral:misc_RNA from 1 species
UCUCCGUUGGUGAACCAGCGGAGGGAUCAUUACAGAGAACACCCUUCUCUACCGUUGUGAACCUACCUGCCGUUGCCUCGGCGGGCCGUCUCGGGUCCCCUGGGACGGCCUGCCGGCGGUACCACAAACCACUGUCAUGUUAGUUACUCUGAGUACUACGGGAAAUCGUUACAACUUUCAACAAUGGAUCUCUUGGCUCUGGCAUCGAUGAAGAACGCAGC